AUUGAACGCUGGCGGCAUGCUUUACACAUGCAAGUCGGACGGUAACAGGUUAAGCUGACGAGUGGCGAACGGGUGAGUAAUGCAUCGGAACGUGCCCGAUCGUGGGGGUUAACACUUCGAAAGAAGUGCUAAUACCGCAUACGAUCUGAGGAUGAAAGCGGGGGACCGUAAGGCCUCGCGCGAUCGGAGCGGCCGAUGGCCGAUUAGGUAGUUGGUGGGGUAAAGGCUCACCAAGCCGACGGUCUGUAGCUGGUCUGAGCGGACGACCAGCCACACUGGGGCUGAGGCACGGCCCAGACUCCUACGGGAGGCAGCAGUGGGGAAUUUUGGACAAUGGGCGAAAGCCUGAUUCAGCAAUGCCGCGUGCAGGAAGAAGGCCUUCGGGUUGUAAACUGCUUUUGUACGGAGCGAAAAAGCUCUCUCUAAUACAGGGGGCUCAUGACAGUACCGUAAGAAUAAGCACCGGCUAACUACGUGCCAGCAGCCGCAGUAA
rnacentral:rRNA from 1 species